UUUGGUUCGGGCAUUCUGUCACUUAUGACACAUAAUUGGAAGGGAUCGAUUCAAAGUGAUGAGAAAUGGAAGACUUAUCUUCAAAUCCGGGAUUUUGGAGCGCCAUUAGAGCUUGACCACUAAUUUCAAACUACAGCCUUUUAAAGUUCUGAAGUUUGAGGGAACCAGAAGUGGAAGUGUCAAAACUCUCACCAGGAAGCCUGUUACGAGAUGUUCUACCCAAGCUGGCAACUUCAGGUAGUUUGGAAAGUACAAAUAAGAGGUAUAAAAAACUCUCUU